GGUUAAGCGACUAAGCGUACACGGUGGAUGCCCUGGCAGUCAGAGGCGAUGAAGGACGUGCUAAUCUGCGAUAAGCGUCGGUAAGGUGAUAUGAACCGUUAUAACCGGCGAUUUCCGAAUGGGGAAACCCAGUGUGAUUCGUCACACUAUCAUUAACUGAAUCCAUAGGUUAAUGAGGCGAACCGGGGGAACUGAAACAUCUAAGUACCCCGAGGAAAAGAAAUCAACCGAGAUUCCCCCAGUAGCGGCGAGCGAACGGGGAGCAGCCCAGAGCCUGAAUCAGUGUGUGUGUUAGUGGAAGCGUCUGGAAAGGCGUGCGAUACAGGGUGACAGCCCCGUACACAAAAAUGCACAUAUUGUGAGCUCGAUGAGUAGGGCGGGACACGUGGUAUCCUGUCUGAAUAUGGGGGGACCAUCCUCCAAGGCUAAAUACUCCUGACUGACCGAUAGUGAACCAGUACCGUGAGGGAAAGGCGAAAAGAACCCCGGCGAGGGGAGUGAAAAAGAACCUGAAACCGUGUACGUACAAGCAGUGGGAGCACGCUUAGGCGUGUGACUGCGUACCUUUUGUAUAAUGGGUCAGCGACUUAUAUUCUGUAGCAAGGUUAACCGAAUAGGGGAGCCGAAGGGAAACCGAGUCUUAACUGGGCGUUAAGUUGCAGGGUAUAGACCCGAAA
rnacentral:rRNA from 1 species